GCCUAUAAUAAUCCUUCCUCUUCACAAACAACUUUACAUCCUCCAAUAUCCAAGCCUUCAUCUCAUUAUCCAUCGCAAUCGUUUCGAAUGUAGCCGGAUGGUUUAAAACCACCGAGCUCCAGUAAUCGGUUCCGCUAUAAUCCACAGUAUGAAGUUUAACUGCUUUUAGUUGGGCUUUGAUGUGUUCAGCUGUUUUUAGUACAUGUGGGACUGGAAGUGCAACUCGAAAAAAGGGGGUCUUCUUUUAUAAACCUUGCAAACAACUUUGAAGAUCUGCAAUCAAGUUCAAGAAAUCAGUUAAAAUCAACACAAAAUCACCAAACUAAUGAACCAAGAUUGAAGAACUAACCAUCCUGAGUCACGAGAGGAUAAUCUGAGGCAUUGAGGUUUAUAUACCAAUCCCAAUCCUUAAACUUUCUAAUUAAGAAUGGCAGAAGCAUGAAGAGUGUUAGACACCAUCGUUGGUCCUCUAUAUGUAACCAUGUUAGCUUUUGGGAUCACAUAAACAUUCCCACUACAGAAAAAACCGGAUCAUUUUUCAACCUGUAAAGCAAGCUCCGUUCUCUCCUUGAGUGGCGAUUCAAGAUCAAGAUGAAGAAUAUAGUAGUUCCAUGGAUGAUAUAAUGCUCUCAGUGUCCUCCAUAACUUGUUUAAAUCCCCUUUCGAACUAUAAACCAGAUAAGCGAAAUGAGAAACGGUGGUAAAAGAUCCGGUUUUAUUCAUUCUAAUUCGAAAUGAAUUGAGUUUUUCUUCAAUACCCAAAUUGAGAGAUAUUGUGAACAAAAAGAUGGAUAUGCUUGAAGCCAUGGCCAAUGAGAGUACCAAUUUUUUUUUCAUAGUGAAGAAAUUUAAUUUCUUUAAGCUUCACCAUUGUUGUUUUACUUUUGUAAUCUCAUUCACAUCAGUUUUCUUUCG
rnacentral:lncRNA from 1 species